rfam:Gongylonema pulchrum genome assembly, scaffold: GPTH_scaffold0003501
GGACCGGUGGUGUGGGGGUAACGCAUUGCGUCCGGAAGUGAAGGGGAGUGGUUCGAUUCCCUUCCGGUCCA